rnacentral:rRNA from 1 species
GAUUACCUCAGUAACGGCGAGUGAAGCGGUAACAGCUCAAAUUUGAAAUCUGGGCCUUUCAGGCUCCGAGUUGUAAUUUGUAGAAGAUGCUUUGGGUGCGGCCCCGGUCUAAGUUCCUUGGAACAGGACGUCAUAGAGGGUGAGAAUCCCGUAUGUGAUCGGUGGCUUGCGCCCGUGUAAAGCUCUUUCGACGAGUCGGGUUGUUUGGGAAUGCAGCUCUAAAUGGGUGGUAAAUUUCAUCUAAAGCUAAAUAUUGGCCAGAGACCGAUAGCGCACAAGUAGAGUGAUCGAAAGAUGAAAAGCACUUUGGAAAGAGAGUUAAACAGUACGUGAAAUUGUUGAAAGGGAAGCGCUUGCAACCAGACUUGCGCGGGGUUGAUCAUCCGGGGUUCUCCCCGGUGCACUCGGCCCCGCUCAGGCCAGCAUCGGUUUUGGUGGUUGGAUAAAGGCCUUGGGAAUGUGACUUCUUUCGGGGAGUGUUAUAGCCCUCGGUGCAAUGCAGCCUACCGGGACCGAGGACCGCGCUUCGGCUAGGAUGCUGGCGUAAUGGUUGUAAGCGACCCGUCUUGAAACACGGACCAAGGAGUCUAACAUCUAUGCGAGUGUUUGGGUGUCAAACCCAUGCGCGUAAUGAAAGUGAACGGAGGUGAGAACCCUUAAGGGCGCAUCAUCGACCGAUCCUGAUGUCUUCGGAUGGAUUUGAGUAAGAGCAUAGCUGUUGGGACCCGAAAGAUGGUGAACUAUGCCUGAAUAGGGUGAAGCCAGAGGAAACUCUGGUGGAGGCUCGCAGCGGUUCUGACGUGCAAAUCGAUCGUCAAAUUUGGGCAUAGGGGCGAAAGACUAAUCGAACCAUCUAGUAGCUGGUU